rnacentral:sRNA from 1 species
CUCACACAAGGGUAUGGGGAUUCCCCUCCGGUCUUUGGAUUAUCCAGAGCAGAUCUUGUGGAGGAUUAACCGGAGAAGAAUAAUGUC